rnacentral:misc_RNA from 1 species
AAUUCUCAACCUCACCCGCUUUUUAUUUGCGUGCGUGAAGGCUUGGAUGUGGAGGUUUUUGCAGGUCCAGCUCUGUUGGUCUGCUCCUCUGAAAUGCAUUAGUGGGUUGUGGCCCCUCAUCUAUUGGUGUGAUAAUUAUCUACGCCGUGGAUCAGUGUUGGCAACAAUGAAGACCUGCUUCUAACCGUCCGACUCGGACAAUCUUGACAU